rnacentral:rRNA from 1 species
GAAGCGUCUGGAAAGGCGCGCGAUACAGGGUGACAGCCCCGUACACAAAAAUGCACAUACUGUGAGCUCGAUGAGUAGGGCGGGACACGUGGUAUCCUGUCUGAAUAUGGGGGGACCAUCCUCCAAGGCUAAAUACUCCUGACUGACCGAUAGUGAACCAGUACCGUGAGGGAAAGGCGAAAAGAACCCCGGCGAGGGGAGUGAAAAAGAACCUGAAACCGUGUACGUACAAGCAGUGGGAGCCUCUUAAUGGGGUGACUGCGUACCUUUUGUAUAAUGGGUCAGCGACUUAUAUUCUGUAGCAAGGUUAACCGAAUAGGGGAGCCGAAGGGAAACCGAGUCUUAACUGGGCGUUAAGUUGCAGGGUAUAGACCCGAAACCCGGUGAUCUAGCCAUGGGCAGGUUGAAGGUUGGGUAACACUAACUGGAGGACCGAACCGACUAAUGUUGAAAAAUUAGCGGAUGACUUGUGGCUGGGGGUGAAAGGCCAAUCAAACCGGGAGAUAGCUGGUUCUCCCCGAAAGCUAUUUAGGUAGCGCCUCGUGAAUUCAUCUCCGGGGGUAGAGCACUGUUUCGGCAAGGGGGUCAUCCCGACUUACCAACCCGAUGCAAACUGCGAAUACCGGAGAAUGUUAUCACGGGAGACACACGGCGGGUGCUAACGUCCGUCGUGAAGAGGGAAACAACCCAGACCGCCAGCUAAGGUCCCAAAGUCAUGGUUAAGUGGGAAACGAUGUGGGAAGGCCCAGACAGCCAGGAUGUUGGCUUAGAAGCAGCCAUCAUUUAAAGAAAGCGUAAUAGCUCACUGGUCGAGUCGGCCUGCGCGGAAGAUGUAACGGGGCUAAACCAUGCACCGAAGCUGCGGCAGCGACGCUUAUGCGUUGUUGGGUAGGGGAGCGUUCUGUAAGCCUGUGAAGGUGGCCUGUGAGGGUUGCUGGAGGUAUCAGAAGUGCGAAUGCUGACAUAAGUAACGAUAAAGCGGGUGAAAAGCCCGCUCGCCGGAAGACCAAGGGUUCCUGUCCAACGUUAAUCGGGGCAGGGUGAGUCGACCCCUAAGGCGAGGCCGAAAGGCGUAGUCGAUGGGAAACAGGUUAAUAUUCCUGUACUUGGUGUUACUGCGAAGGGGGGACGGAGAAGGCUAUGUUGGCCGGGCGACGGUUGUCCCGGUUUAAGCGUGUAGGCUGGUUUUCCAGGCAAAUCCGGAAAAUCAAGGCUGAGGCGUGAUGACGAGGCACUACGGUGCUGAAGCGACAAAUGCCCUGCUUCCAGGAAAAGCCUCUAAGCAUCAGGUAACAUUAAAUCGUACCCCAAACCGACACAGGUGGUCAGGUAGAGAAUACCAAGGCGCUUGAGAGAACUCGGGUGAAGGAACUAGGCAAAAUGGUGCCGUAACUUCGGGAGAAGGCACGCUGAUAUGUAGGUGAAGCGACUUGCUCGUGGAGCUGAAAUCAGUCGAAGAUACCAGCUGGCUGCAACUGUUUAUUAAAAACACAGCACUGUGCAAACACGAAAGUGGACGUAUACGGUGUGACGCCUGCCCGGUGCCGGAAGGUUAAUUGAUGGGGUUAGCGGUAACGCGAAGCUCUUGAUCGAAGCCCCGGUAAACGGCGGCCGUAACUAUAACGGUCCUAAGGUAGCGAAAUUCCUUGUCGGGUAAGUUCCGACCUGCACGAAUGGCGUAAUGAUGGCCAGGCUGUCUCCACCCGAGACUCAGUGAAAUUGAACUCGCUGUGAAGAUGCAGUGUACCCGCGGCAAGACGGAAAGACCCCGUGAACCUUUACUAUAGCUUGACACUGAACAUUGAGCCUUGAUGUGUAGGAUAGGUGGGAGGCUUUGAAGUGUGGACGCCAGUCUGCAUGGAGCCGACCUUGAAAUACCACCCUUUAAUGUUUGAUGUUCUAACGUGGGCCCCUUACCGGGGUUGCGGACAGUGUCUGGUGGGUAGUUUGACUGGGGCGGUCUCCUCCUAAAGAGUAACGGAGGAGCACGAAGGUUGGCUAAUCCUGGUCGGACAUCAGGAGGUUAGUGCAAUGGCAUAAGCCAGCUUGACUGCGAGCGUGACGGCGCGAGCAGGUGCGAAAGCAGGUCAUAGUGAUCCGGUGGUUCUGAAUGGAAGGGCCAUCGCUCAACGGAUAAAAGGUACUCCGGGGAUAACAGGCUGAUACCGCCCAAGAGUUCAUAUCGACGGCGGUGUUUGGCACCUCGAUGUCGGCUCAUCACAUCCUGGGGCUGAAGUAGGUCCCAAGGGUAUGGCUGUUCGCCAUUUAAAGUGGUACGCGAGCUGGGUUUAGAACGUCGUGAGACAGUUCGGUCCCUAUCUGCCGUGGGCGCUGGAGAACUGAGGGGGGCUGCUCCUAGUACGAGAGGACCGGAGUGGACGCAUCACUGGUGUUCGGGUUGUCAUGCCAAUGGCACUGCCCGGUAGCUAAAUGCGGAAGAGAUAAGUGCUGAAAGCAUCUAAGCACGAAACUUGCCCCGAGAUGAGUUCUCCCUGACUCCUUGAGAGUCCUGAAGGAACGUUGAAGACGACGACGUUGAUAGGCCGGGUGUGUAAGCGCAGCGAUGCGUUGAGCUAACCGGUACUAAUGAACCGUGAGGCUUAACCU